CUUCUCUGGACACGCUCCAGCACCUCAAUGGUGUUUUGUGUGGUGAGGGGCCCAAAACUGGACACAGCACUCGAGGUGGGGCCUCACCAGUGCCAGAGCAUGAAAUAAAGAUGAUGAUCCAAACGUAUAUAGUGUCCAUAUCUUUGCGUCUUGCCGAAAACAUGAGCUGGAGUUGAAGGCAGCCGGGUAUCCUGCAAACCCCGAUGAAUACAGGCAAGCCCAGCUGAACCUGAACAUCACAACUGAUGCUAACGUGGGGUUUUUUUCUUCCUUAAGUUAUAUAUGCCAAGAAAGUUCCUGACCAGAUGUUGGAGAUACAAUAACUAAUCCUCUAGCAGGUUGGCUUGGUGGCCCGCAUCCCAAUCAACCUCCAUCUGCUGCAUCCACCUGCUGAUACAGCUGCGCCAGAUGUUGUUCACACGUGUUCCAGCCUUCCUUGCUGCCAGAAAAUAAACCUCUGGGUUGCAGCAGCUCAACCGCCAACGGACCCAUAAGAGCAAAAGGGAGUUUCUGCUGCCUUUUUGGGGCAUCGCAUGAAGAAGCACAGGAAACAUUUUGAAGGAAACCUGACAUUUCCAAGGAGCUGGGCCAAGCUUUCAGCAGAGAUUUACAGCUCCAGGAAAGCGCUGGCGGUGGGUUGCAGCCGCCAAAUGGGACCAUUUCAG